UACGAAGGGGGCGAGCGUUGUUCGGAAUCACUGGGCGUAAAGGGCGCGUAGGCGGCCCUUCUUGUCGCGUGUGAAAGCCCCGGGCUCAACCUGGGAACGGCGCGCGAGACGGGGGGGCUGGAGUUCGGGAGAGGAGCGUGGAAUUCCCAGUGUAGAGGUGAAAUUCGUAGAUAUUGGGAGGAACACCAGUGGCGAAGGCGGCUCACUGGACCGGAACUGACGCUGAGGCGCGAAAGCGUGGGGAGCAAACAGG
rnacentral:rRNA from 1 species